GAGCUUGCUCCUUUGACGUUAGCGGCGGACGGGUGAGUAACACGUGGAUAACCUACCUAUAAGACUGGGAUAACUUCGGGAAACCGGAGCUAAUACCGGAUAACAUAUUGAACCGCAUGGUUCAAUAGUGAAAGGCGGCUUUGCUGUCACUUAUAGAUGGAUCCGCGCCGUAUUAGCUAGUUGGUAAGGUAACGGCUUACCAAGGCAACGAUACGUAGCCGACCUGAGAGGGUGAUCGGCCACACUGGAACUGAGACACGGUCCAGACUCCUACGGGAGGCAGCAGUAGGGAAUCUUCCGCAAUGGGCGAAAGCCUGACGGAGCAACGCCGCGUGAGUGAUGAAGGUCUUCGGAUCGUAAAACUCUGUUAUCAGGGAAGAACAAAUGUGUAAGUAACUGUGCACAUCUUGACGGUACCUGAUCAGAAAGCCACGGCUAACUACGUGCCAGCAGCCGCGGUAAUACGUAGGUGGCAAGCGUUAUCCGGAAUUAUUGGGCGUAAAGCGCGCGUAGGCGGUUUUUUAAGUCUGAUGUGAAAGCCCACGGCUCAACCGUGGAGGGUCAUUGGAAACUGGAAAACUUGAGUGCAGAAGAGGAAAAGUGGAAUUCCAUGUGUAGCGGUGAAAUGCGCAGAGAUAUGGGAGGAACAC
rnacentral:rRNA from 1 species